AUGGGGUGACUGCGUACCUUUUGUAUAAUGGGUCAGCGACUUAUAUUCUGUAGCGAGGUUAACCGUAUAGGGGAGCCGUAGGGAAACCGAGUCUUAACUGGGCGAAUGAGUUGCAGGGUAUAGACCCGAAACCCGGUGAUCUAUCCAUGGGCAGGUUGAAGGUUGGGUAACACUAACUGGAGGACCGAACCGACUAAUGUUGAAAAAUUAGCGGAUGACUUGUGGAUGGGGGUGAAAGGCCAAUCAAACCGGGAGAUAGCUGGUUCUCCCCGAAAGCUAUUUAGGUAGCGCCUCGUGAACUCAUCUUCGGGGGUAGAGCACUGUUUCGACUAGGGGGUCAUCCCGACUUACCAACUCGAUGCAAACUGCGAAUACCGAAGAAUGUUAUCACGGGAGACACACGGCGGGUGCUAACGUCCGUCGUGAAGAGGGAAACAACCCAGACCGCCAGCUAAGGUCCCAAAGUCAUGGUUAAGUGGGAAACGAAGUGGGAAGGCUCAGACAGCCAGGAUGUUGGCUUAGAAGCAGCCAUCAUUUAAAGAAAGCGUAAUAGCUCACUGGUCGAGUCGGCCCGCGCGGAAGAUGUAACGGGGCUAAACCAUGCACCGAAGCUGCGGCAGCGACACAUAGUGUUGUUGGGUAGGGGAGCGUUCUGUAAGCCUGCGAAGGUGUACUGUGAGGUAUGCUGGAGGUAUCAGAAGUGCGAAUGCUGACAUAAGUAACGAUAAUGCGGGUGAAAAACCCGCACGCCGGAAGACCAAGGGUUCCUGUCCAACGUUAAUCGGGGCAGGGUGAGUCGACCCCUAAGGCGAGGCUGAAAAGCGUAGUCGAUGGGAAACGGGUUAAUAUUCCCGUACUGGUGGUAACUGCGAUGGGGGAACGGAGAAGGCUAGGUUGUCCGGGCGACGGUCGUCCCGGUUCAAGCAGGUAGGCAGAGUGAUUAGGCAAAUCCGGUCACUUAAUGCUGAGAUGUGAUGACGAACCACCAAGGUGGUGAAGCAAUUGAUGCCCCGCUUCCAGGAAAAGCCUCUAAGCUUCAGGUUACCAACAAUCGUACCCCAAACCGACACAGGUGGUCAGGUAGAGAAUACUCAGGCGCUUGAGAGAACUCGGGUGAAGGAACUAGGCAAAAUGGUGCCGUAACUUCGGGAGAAGGCACGCUGGCGGUAGGUAAAGUCCCUCGCGGACGGCGCUGAAGCCAGUCGAAGAUACCAGCUGGCUGCAACUGUUUAUUAAAAACACAGCACUGUGCAAACACGAAAGUGGACGUAUACGGUGUGACGCCUGCCCGGUGCUGGAAGGUUAAUUGAUGGGGUUAGCGUAAGCGAAGCUCCUGAUCGAAGCCCCAGUAAACGGCGGCCGUAACUAUAACGGUCCUAAGGUAGCGAAAUUCCUUGUCGGGUAAGUUCCGACCUGCACGAAUGGCGUAAUGAUGGCCAGGCUGUCUCCACCCGAGACUCAGUGAAAUUGAACUCGCUGUGAAGAUGCAGUGUACCCGCGGCAAGACGGAAAGACCCCGUGAACCUUUACUAUAGCUUGACACUGAACAUUGAGCCUUGAUGUGUAGGAUAGGUGGGAGGCUUUGAAGUGUGGACGCCAGUCUGCAUGGAGCCAACCUUGAAAUACCACCCUUUAACGUUUGAUGUUCUAACCUAGGCCCAUAAACUGGGUCGGGGACCGUGUCUGGUGGGUAGUUUGACUGGGGCGGUCUCCUCCUAAAGAGUAACGGAGGAGCACGAAGGUUGGCUAAGCAUGGUCGGACAUCAUGCGGUUAGUGCAAAGGCAUAAGCCAGCUUGACUGCGAGAGUGACGGCUCGAGCAGGUACGAAAGUAGGUCUUAGUGAUCCGGUGGUUCUGAAUGGAAGGGCCAUCGCUCAACGGAUAAAAGGUACUCCGGGGAUAACAGGCUGAUACCGCCCAAGAGUUCAUAUCGACGGCGGUGUUUGGCACCUCGAUGUCGGCUCAUCACAUCCUGGGGCUGAAGUAGGUCCCAAGGGUAUGGCUGUUCGCCAUUUAAAGUGGUACGCGAGCUGGGUUUAGAACGUCGUGAGACAGUUCGGUCCCUAUCUGCCGUGGGCGUUGGAAGAUUGAGAGGGGUUGCUCCUAGUACGAGAGGACCGGAGUGAACGCACCACUGGUGUUCGGGUUGUCAUGCCAAUGGCAUUGCCCGGUAGCUAAGUGCGGAAGAGAUAACCGCUGAAAGCAUCUAAGCGGGAAACUUGCCUCGAGAUGAGUCUUCCCUGUCGCUUUAAGCGACCUAAAGGAACGUUUAAGACUAAGACGUUGAUAGGCUGGGUGUGUAAGCGUAGCGAUACGUUGAGCUAACCAGUACUAAUGAACCGUGAGGCUUAACCUG
rnacentral:rRNA from 1 species